rnacentral:rRNA from 1 species
GAUGAACGCUGGCGGCGUGCCUAAUACAUGCAAGUCGAGCGAACAGACGAGGAGCUUGCUCCUCUGACGUUAGCGGUGGACGGGUGAGUAACACGUGGAUAACCUACCUAUAAGACUGGGAUAACUUCGGGAAACCGGAGCUAAUACCGGAUAACAUGUUGAACCGCAUGGUUCAACAGUGAAAGACGGUCUUGCUGUCACUUAUAGAUGGAUCCGCGCCUCAUUGGCUAGUUGGUAAGGUAACGGCUUACCAAGGCAACGAUGCGUAGCCGACCUGAGAGGGUGAUCGGCCACACUGGAACUGAGACACGGUCCAGACUCCUACGGGAGGCAGCAGUAGGGAAUCUUCCGUAAUGGGCGAAAGCCUGACGGAGCAACGCCGCGUGAGUGAAGAAGGUCUUCGGAUCGUAAAACUCUGUUAUUAGGGAAGAACAAAUGUGUAAGUAACUAUGCACGUCUUGACGGUACCUAAUCAGAAAGCCACGGCUAACUACGUGCCAGCAGCCGCAGUAA